UUUUUAUGGUAGGUAUAUUUUCAUGUUUUUAGGGUUCCGUAGCCAAAUGGCAAAAAACGGAACCCUUAUGGAUUCGUCAUGUCUGUCUGUCCGUCCGUAUGUCACAGCCACUUUUUUCCGAAACUAUAAGAACUAUACUGCUGAAACUUGGUAAGUAAACUUAGUACCUAUUCUGUGAACCGCAUUAAGAUUUUCACACAAAAAUAGAAAAAAAAAACAAUAAAUUUGGGGGUUCCCCAUACUUAGAACUGAAACUCAAUUUUUUUUUUUCAUCAAACCCAUACGUGUGGGGUAUCUAUGGAUAGGUCUUCAAAAAUGAUAUUGAGGUUUCUAAUAUCAUGUUUUCUAAACUGAAUAGUUUGCGCGAGACACACUUCCAAAUUGGUAAAAUGUGUCCCCCCCCCUGUAACUGCUAAAAUAAGAGAAUGAUAAAACUAAAAAAAAAUAUAUGAAGAACAUUACCAUGCAAACUUCCACUGAAAAUUGGUUUGAAUGAGAUCUAGUAAGUAGUUUUUUUUUAAUACGUCAUAAAUCGUAAA